rnacentral:sRNA from 1 species
GCCAGUCGGGAAAUAAUUCGUUCAUCGCACUCGGUUCCAAAACAUUGCCGGACACUAUAUGAUCCCCAAUCUCGCCGGCUUUUUCCAAAAGUAUAACCCGGAAGUCUUCAUUGCCCGCUUCGUUUGCAAUUUUUUUCAGCCGGAUAGCUGCGGCGAGACCCGCGGGGCCUAUCGUCUCACAUAAAACGGUGUCGAGUCAGCCCUCCUGUUAUUCGAAACAAAGCGCGAAAAAAAAAGAAAGAAAGAAAGAAAGAAAGAAAGAAAGAAAGAAAGAAAGAAAGAAGACGCACCACCACCAAUAAUGCACACAUCGACGCUGUCCGAUUCACGUUCAAUUCGGGAAGGAUCAAAGCUGUCCGAAUCGCUAGCAAACCGCCUCUGUAGCGUGCUCGAAAAGUCCCGUUUCUGGUUUAAAUAAAUCGUUUGCGCUGAGAAAGGACGUUGAUGGACUAUUCGCCGUGGACUUGAUCCGACGAGUCUUGUGGGGUGGCGGGAAUAGGCGCAAGCGGAAGAUUUCAGCACAUCAGUGGCCCAGGAGCGCGGACAGAUGGGAACAAGUUCACGCCUCAAGAGAGGCAGUAGCAAGGUGGUCUGUGAAGCCAUUGUGUGUUGUGUGCAAGCAACAGGAGUUCAACAGACCACCUCCGGUUACAAGUGUUUGGUAUGAAUAGUGGGCUUGGAUUCGCCGAAACCUGAGCAACUGGGGAAAUAUUGCCGUCAACAACCGAGGACUGCCCCUCAGCCAAUG